rnacentral:lncRNA from 1 species
CACUGGUCGUGGACAGGAAGACUCUCUCCGGCCAUCUCAGGUGUUCCUGUAUAAAACUGUGCCAACUCGUUUGCUGUCACGUGCCUGUGGUCGCCUCAACCAAGUAGAACUUCCUUACUGGCUCCGGAGGCCAGUCUACAGCCUGUAUAUCUGGACCUUUGGGGUGAACAUGACUGAGGCUGCAGUGGAGGACCUGCACCACUACCACAACCUCAGCGAGUUCUUCUGGCGUAAGCUGAAGCCUCAGGCACAGCCUGUCUGCGAUUUGCACUGUGUGGUA